CUACGGGAGGCAGCAGUGAGGAAUAUUGGUCAAUGGGCGAGAGCCUGAACCAGCCAUCCCGCGUGCAGGAAGAAGGCCCUAUGGGUUGUAAACUGCUUUUGCGCAUGAAGAAUGGUACCCUCGUGAGGGUAUUUGACGGUAAUGCGUGAAUAAGCACCGGCUAACUCCGUGCCAGCAGCCGCGGUAAUACGGAGGGUGCAAGCGUUAUCCGGAUUUAUUGGGUUUAAAGGGUGCGUAGGCGGUAUUAUAAGUCAGUGGUGAAAUCCUGCAGCUUAACUGUAGAUGUGCCAUUGAAACUGUAGUACUUGAGUGAUCUUGAGGUAGGCGGAAUGUGUAGUGUAGCGGUGAAAUGCUUAGAUAUUACACAGAACACCCAUUGCGAAGGCAGCUUACUAAGGAUUAACUGACGCUCAGGCACGAAAGCGUGGGGAUCGAACAGGAUUAGAUACCCCGGU
rnacentral:rRNA from 1 species